rnacentral:rRNA from 1 species
AGCGAACGCUGGCGGCGGGCCUAACACAUGCAAGUCGAACGAACCCUUCGGGGUUAGUGGCGGACGGGUGAGUAACACGUGGGAACGUGCCUUUAGGUUCGGAAUAACUCAGGGAAACUUGUGCUAAUACCGAAUGUGCCCUUCGGGGGAAAGAUUUAUCGCCUUUAGAGCGGCCCGCGUCUGAUUAGCUAGUUGGUGAGGUAAUGGCUCACCAAGGCUACGAUCAGUAGCUGGUCUGAGAGGAUGACCAGCCACAUUGGGACUGAGACACGGCCCAAACUCCUACGGGAGGUAGCAGUGGGGAAUCUUGCGCAAUGGGCGAAAGCCUGACGCAGCCAUGCCGCGUGGAUGAUGAAGGUCUUAGGAUUGUAAAAUCCUUUCACCGGUGAAGAUAAUGACUGUAGCCGGAGAAGAAGCCCCGGCUAACUUCGUGCCAGCAGCCGCAGUAAUAC